rnacentral:rRNA from 1 species
GAUGAACGCUGGCGGCAUGCCUAACACAUGCAAGUCGAACGAGACCUUCGGGUCUAGUGGCGCACGGGUGCGUAACGCGUGGGAAUCUGCCCUCUGGUACGGAAUAACUCAGGGAAACUUGAGCUAAUACCGUAUAAUGACUUCGGUCCAAAGAUUUAUCGCCUGAGGAUGAGCCCGCGUCGGAUUAGCUAGUUGGUAGGGUAAAGGCCUACCAAGGCGGCGAUCCGUAGCUGGUCUGAGAGGAUGAUCAGCCACACUGGGACUGAGACACGGCCCAGACUCCUACGGGAGGCAGCAGUGGGGAAUAUUGGACAAUGGGGGAAACCCUGAUCCAGCAAUGCCGCGUGAGUGAUGAAGGCCUUAGGGUUGUAAAGCUCUUUUACCCGGGAUGAUAAUGACAGUACCGGGAGAAUAAGCCCCGGCUAACUCCGUGCCAGCAGCCGCGGUAAUACGGAGGGGGCUAGCGUUGUUCGGAAUUACUGGGCGUAAAGCGCACGUAGGCGGCGUUU